UACGUAGGGGGGCUAGCGUCGUCCGGAAUCAUUGGGCGUAAAGAGCGUGUAGGCGGUCCGGUAAGUCCGCUGUGAAAGUCGGGGGGCUCAACCCUCGAAUGCCGGUGGAUACUGUCGGGCUAGAGUGCGGAAGAGGCGAGUGGAAUUCCUGGUGUAGCGGUGAAAUGCGUAGAUAUCUGGAGGAACACCGGUGGCGAAGGCGGCAUCCUGGACCGGUAUUGACGCUGAUGCGCGAAAGCCAGGGGAGCAAACGGG
rnacentral:rRNA from 1 species